rnacentral:rRNA from 1 species
UACGAAGGGGGCUAGCGUUGUUCGGAAUUACUGGGCGUAAAGCGUGCGCAGGCGGCUUCUCAAGUCAGGGGUGAAAGCCCAGAGCUCAACUCUGGAAUUGCCUUUGAGACUGAGUGGCUUGAGUACGAGAGAGGUGAGUGGAAUUCCCCAGUGUAGAGGUGAAAUUCGUAGAUAUUGGGAAGGAACACCGGUGGCGAAGGCGGCUCACUGGCUCGUAACUGACGCUCAUGCACGACAGCGUGGGGAUCAAACAGG